rnacentral:rRNA from 1 species
ACUCCUACGGGAGGCAGCAGUGGGGAAUAUUGCACAAUGGGCGCAAGCCUGAUGCAGCAACGCCGCGUGAGCGAUGAAGGCCUUCGGGUCGUAAAGCUCUGUCCUCAAGGAAGAAUAAAUGACGGUACUUGAGGAGGAAGCCCGGCUAACUACGUGCCAGCAGCCGCGGUAAUACGUAGGGGCAAGCGUUAUCCGGAAUCACUGGGCGUAAAGGGUGCGUAGGCGGUUUUCAAGUUCAGAAGUGAAAGGCUAUGGCUCAACCAUAGUAAGCUUUUGAAACUGUUAAACUUGAGUGCAGGAGAGGAAAGUGGAAUUCCUAGUGUAGAGGUGAAAUUCGUAGAUAUUAGGAGGAACACCAGUGCGAAGCGACUUUCUGGACU